rnacentral:rRNA from 1 species
AGUUUGAUCCUGGCUCAGGAUGAACGCUGGCGGCGUGCCUAAUACAUGCAAGUCGAGCGGCAGCACGGUCUUCGGACUGGUGGCGAGCGGCGGACGGCUGAGUAACGCGUAGGAAUAUACCCCAAAGUGAGGGAUAACUGCCCGAAAGGGUGGCUAAUACCGCAUGUGGUCUUCGGACUAAAGCCUUCGGGCGCUUUGGGAAUAGCCUGCGUAAGAUUAGCUAGUUGGUGAGGUAAAUGGGCUCACCAAGGCGACGAUCUUUAGCUGGUCUGAGAGGAUGACCAGCCAGACUGGAACUGAGACACGGUCCAGACUCCUACGGGAGGCAGCAGUAGGGAAUUUUCCACAAUGGGCGAAAGCCUGAUGGAGCAACGCCGCGCGCAGGAUGAAGGCCCUCGGGUCGUAAACUGCUUUUAUGUGCGAAGAAUAUGACGGUAACACAUGAAUAAGGGUCGGCUAACUACGUG